UACUACUACUUCUACUACUACUACUACUACUACUACUACUACUACUACUACUACUACUACCACUACUACUACUACUACUACUACUACUACUACUACUACUACUACUACUACACCACCACCACCACCACCACCACCACCACCACCAUUCACAGUGACAAAAAACGUAUUCACACAAUGGCUGCUACUACAACUUAUAGCCCAUAUAGGGGGGCAUGCAUGUUUUACAAACAGCCCUUGUUUCUAUGGGAUUUUAGCCACAACUGUUCAUGUUUAUCUCCGACACAUAUUUUUAGGUCACCUGUCAUGAAGUGACACGGUGAGCUUAUGUGAUUGUGUGAUGUCCGGCGUCCGUUGUGCGUGCCUGCGUUUGUCCGUGCGUCCGUCCGUCAACAAUUUGUUUGUGUAGACAGUAGAGGUCACAGUUUGCAUCCAAUCUUGAUGAAAUUUGGUCAAAAUGUUUAUCUUGAUGAAAUCCGGUUUGGGAUUGUAUUUGGGUCAUCUGGGGUCAAAAACAAGGUCACUAGGUCAAAUAAUAGAAAAACCUUGUGUAGACAUUAGAGAUCACAGUUUUCAUCCAACCUUUAUGAAAUUUGGUCAGAAUUCUUGAUGAAAUCUGGGUGGGAUUGUAUUUGGGUCAUCUGGGGUAAAAAUCUAGGUCAAAUAAAUAGAAAAACCUUGUGUUGACAAUAGAGGUCACAGUUUUCAUCCAAUAUUUAUGAACUGUGGUCAGAAUGUUUAUCUUGAUGAAAUCUGGAUUGGGAUUGUAUUUGGGUCAUCUAGAGUCAGGAACUAGGUCACUAGGUCAAAUCAUAGAAAAACAUUGUGUAGACAAUAGAGGUCAUAGUUUUCAUCUGAUCUUAAUGAGUCAGGUGAGCGAUUCAGGGCCAUCAUGGCCCUCUUGUCUUUCUUGUGCUUUACAUGCAAAAAAAUUACAUUUUAUUUUGUUCACAAAGUUUGCAUGUUCCAUAUUUGCAAAAAACUAGAGCUUAAAUGUAUUAUCCUCUAAAAAAUUUUAAAUGUGUUUUCUUGCUGCAUUUUAGCUGUCAUAUUUACGUGAACAAUUAAUUUUCUGAAGAAUGUUCAAAGCCAUAGGGCCUGGAAUCAUUUACGCUGCGUUCUGGAAAAACUGGGCUUAAUGCUCCUGGGAAUAGUGUCGUCUGAGAGUAGCCUGUGCAGUCUGCACAGGCUUAUCAGGGACGACACUUUAUGCCUAGACUUGACUUCUAUUUUGAAAAGACUUCCUAUAAAUGAAAAAUACUUUAAAGUGGGUAGAUCAGCACUUGCGUUAGUGGACGUCCGGGCGUAAAUUAUGCCCGAAAACGGCAGUCGUACUUCCAUAAUGCAAAUGGAAGUCCCAUGGACCUUCGAUAAUACGCAUGUACGCUAUUUCCUAAUACACAUCACAUACACAUGUCAACAGUAAAUCGGGUUAUUCAGACUGUUAACGCCGCCUAAGAGGUACUGUUCUCAAUGAAUUCCUGAGCGAGUGGCCAAUAUUGAUUUUUCCAGCUGUCAAUUAAAUUCUUCUUGGUAAGCGCAUCCCCCAAUCAGUGCUCAGGCAGCCGAAUACACGCCGACCCCACGUGAAGCUGUAUACAAUCAUAUAAGCGACCUCUGCGCUACUAAGUUUUUAUGCUACUAAGUUUUUAUUCAUCAAUCAAGUCCACGCUUUCCCCGAGGAAGAAUGACAUGAUGUUGUUCAUGAAGUCUAAUUUUUCCAUGAUUUUCAUCUGUACAUGCAAUACACGAGAAAUGUUUAUUUGUUGGUAGAAUUUUCCUAACUCUCCGUGAAUAAUACAAUCUGGAAAUGAUUUCGGAUAACACGUUUAAUUAUACACAUUUGAAAAUACUAAAAUUGAAUCAUGUAUUUUGUUAUAUCAACGGCCAUAACACAUAAUGCAAUAAGUAGUUUAAUGACGUGUUUUGAGAUUGCCAAACUAUGUAAACAUAUUGGUCUACAUGCAUGAUGGCCAUGAAUGACCUGACAAGUUAUACUGUUAUUCGGAAUGAAGUGUACUCUGUAAAAUUUUAAGAAAGACGCGCUUUUGUAUUUUGAAAUUCGCUUUCACCUACGCAAACUUUUCUGAAAGGAGGUACAUGUAACAUUUUAAAUUCAGUCGUUGAUUUGUCGUAAUUACUAAAUAUGAACCAGUGCUCUAUGCUCUCAAAUUGCGUCAAUGAUUAACGCAUGUUCAAUGGGAGUUCCCCCAUCCCACAAUCCAAUUUGUAUAUGCACUUGCGUAAAAUGGCGGACAUUUGCAGACGUCAAUAUUGGCCGUACUUUGGUUUUGAAAAUAUUAAUCGUAAUUAUACUGGAUUAUCGGGUAAUGGAUAGAGUUGGAACAUGUACGUAUAUUAAAAUUCUUAAAUUCAAAAUGUAUGUCUGGGACGUCCAAAAUUUUAGGCUUGGAAGUCAGGACUUCCAACUUUUAAAAGCUAACGGAAGCGCUGGUAGAUAAAUAAAAAGGGAGGGCACUUAAUGUACAUGCAUUAUGGCCAGUUUUCCCAGAAUGAGACACAGUAUUCCCAUUAUGUUCCCUGUAG